GACGAACGCUGGCGGCGUGCUUAACACAUGCCAGUCGAACGGAAAGGCCCUGCGUUUGUUGGGUGCUCGAGUGGCGAACGGGUGAGUAACACGUGAGUAACCUGCCCUUGACUUUGUGAUAACUUCAGGAAACUGGGGCUAAUACCGGAUAGGAGCUCCUGCUGCAUGGUGGGGGUUGGAAAGUUUCGGCGGUUGGGGAUGGACUCGCGGCUUAUCAGCUUGUUGGUGGGGUAGUGGCUUACCAAGGCUUUGACGGGUAGCCGGCCUGAGAGGGUGACCGGCCACAUUGGGACUGAGAUACGGACCAGAAGCCUACGGGAGGCAGCAGUGGGGAAUAUUGCACAAUGGGCGGAAGCCUGAUGCAGCAACGCCGCGUGCGGGAUGACGGCCUUCGGGUUGUAAACCGCUUUCGCCUGUGACGAAGCGUGAGUGACGGUAAUGGGUAAAGAAGCACCGGCUAACUACAUG
rnacentral:rRNA from 1 species